CCUACGGGUGGCAGCAGUGAGGAAUAUUGGUCAAUGGGAGAGAUCCUGAACCAGCCAAGCCGCGUGAGGGUAGACGGCCCUAUGGGUUGUAAACCUCUUUUGUCGGAGAACAAAACCCGGGACGUGGCCCGGACUGCGUGUAUCCGAAGAAAAAGCACCGGCUAACUCCGUGCAAGCAGCCGCGGUAAUACGGAGGAUGCGCGCGUUAUCCGGAUUUAUUGGGUUUAAAGGGUGCGUAGGCGGGCCGUUAAGUCAGCGGUAAAAUCGCGGGGCUCAACGCCGUCGAGCCGUUGAAACUGGCAGACUGGAGUGGGCGAGAAGUACGCGGAAUGCGCGGUGUAGCGGUGAAAUGCAUAGAUAUCGCGCAGAACUCCGAUUGCGAAGGCAGCGUACCGGCGCCAGACUGACGCUGAGGCACGAAAGCGUGGGGAUCGAACAGGAUUAGAUACCCUUGUAGUC
rnacentral:rRNA from 1 species